rnacentral:rRNA from 1 species
CCUGAAACCGUGUACGUACAAGCAGUGGGAGCACGCUUAGGCGUGUGACUGCGUACCUUUUGUAUAAUGGGUCAGCGACUUAUAUUCUGUAGCAAGGUUAACCGAAUAGGGGAGCCGAAGGGAAACCGAGUCUUAACUGGGCGUUAAGUUGCAGGGUAUAGACCCGAAACCCGGUGAUCUAGCCAUGGGCAGGUUGAAGGUUGGGUAACACUAACUGGAGGACCGAACCGACUAAUGUUGAAAAAUUAGCGGAUGACUUGUGGCUGGGGGUGAAAGGCCAAUCAAACCGGGAGAUAGCUGGUUCUCCCCGAAAGCUAUUUAGGUAGCGCCUCGUGAAUUCAUCUCCGGGGGUAGAGCACUGUUUCGGCAAGGGGGUCAUCCCGA